GGGCCGCUAGCUCAAUGGCAGAGCACGUCGCUCAUAACGACUUGGUUCCAGGUUCGAAUCCUGGGCGGCCCACCA
rnacentral:tRNA from 1 species